GCUAACGGCCAGAAGGAGCUGAGGCUCACGUAAUGGACUCUAGGAAGGACUUUAUAAUCCCACGUUCAGAUGGCAGGACUCCAGCUGCAUGAACAGCAACAACAGCAGCCAUUAGCCCUUAUGGGAACCGAGGGCAGGGAGAAGCUAGGGGACCAUGAGUGGGAUCAUCACUCCCAGCUUCUGAUACAUUCUGGAUCCACGGCUGAAUGCAAAACGAAGUAAACCCUUUUUCCUUUCCUUUAACGAAUGAAUAACAGGCCAUUCUCCAUGAAGAUGUAAGCACGGGUGUUCGAGGCAGGGUCUUGACAGGAAGAAGAUGGACUUGAUAAAGGAACUGUUUACAGGCUGUAUUGGGAAACCAGAGGACAGUGCCACAUCUGGGUCUAAGAAUAAAGACCCCAAGUCAUCCCAGCCUUCUGUAGGCUGCAGAAGCAAAGAACAGAUGGCCAUCUGGACAAGGGCCCUAGAGCCAGAAGGAAAAUACAAAGAGCAUGGGAACUCAGAGAUGCCAGCCUCAACAUGAUGCCUAGGCUGAGUAAAUUCUCUGUCAGAUAGCCAGCUGGUAGUAGAGCUGGGAUCAGAACCCCGGCAAUCAGACUUCUCAUCCUACGCUCUCAGCGACUGUGCUACAUGUGCCUGGAAUGUUCCUUACCCUCCAGAAAGUGAAUGAUCCAAGACCUUCCCAGAUCUGUGCCUUCCAGUCUGGAACACCCUCCCUCAUUCUGCACAUGAUGCGCUCUUUCCCAGCCUUCAGGUCUCUCUUGCCAUGUUUCCUCCUCAGAGAAGCCUCCCUGCCGACCAGUCUAAAGAUGGUCUCCCUUGCUUUUAGUCUCCCUU